AGCUCCAAUAGCGUAUAUUAAAGUUGCUGCAGUUAAAAAGCUCGUAGUUGGAUUUGUGGCGCGGCCGUCCGGCGGGGGUCCUUUAUUGGUCCCGUUCGUCCUGGUUCUCGGCCGCUCCUUUCUCGGGUAGCGCGUGGCUGGCAUUAGGUUGUCGGCCGCUUCGCGCCCGUCAUUUACUGUGAAAAAAUUAGAGUGUUCAAAGCAGGCUUACGCCGUUGAAUAUAUUAGCAUGGAAUAAUAAGAUAGGACCUUGGUACUAUUUUGUUGGUUUGCGCACCAAGGUAAUGAUUAAUAGGGACAGUUGGGGGUAUUCGUAUUCCAUUGUCAGAGGUGAAAUUCUUGGAUUUUUGGAAGACGAACUACUGCGAAAGCAUUUACCAAGGAUGUUUUCAUUAAUCAA
rnacentral:rRNA from 1 species